GACAGAGGAUGCAAGCGUUAUCCGGAAUGAUUGGGCGUAAAGCGUCUGUAGGUGGCUUUUUAAGUCCGCCGUCAAAUCCCAGGGCUCAACCCUGGACGGGCGGUGGAAACACUACCAGCUGGAGUACGGUAGGGGCAGAGGGAAUUUCCGGUGGAGCGGUGAAAUGCGUAGAGAUCGGAAAGAACACCAACGGCGAAAGCACUCUGCUGGGCCGACACUGACACUGAGAGACGAAAGCUAGGGGAGCGAAUGGGA
rnacentral:rRNA from 1 species